AUUGAACGCUGGCGGUAGGCCUAACACAUGCAAGUCGAGCGGAUGAAUGGAGCUUGCUCCUGGAUUCGGCGGUGGCCGGGUGAGUAAUGCCUUGGAAUUUGCCUGGUAGUCGGGGAUAACGUCCGGAUACGGGCGCUAAUACCGCAUACGUCCUGAGGGAGCUAGAGGUGGAUCCUCGGACCUUUCGCUAUCAGGUGAGGCUAAGUCGGAUUAGCUAGUUGGUGGGGUACAGGUCUACCAAGGCGACGAUCCGUAACUGGUCUGAGAGGGUGACCAGUCACACUGGAACGGAGACACGGCCCAGACGCCUAUGGGAGGCGGCAGUGGGGAAUAUGGGACGAUGGGGGAAAGCAUGAUCCAGACAUGCCGCGUGUGUGAAGAAGGUCUUCGGAUUGUAAAGAACAUUAAGUUGGGAGGAAGGGCAGUAAGUUAAUACCUUGCUGAUAUGACGGUACCAACAGAAUAAGCACCGGCUAACUUCGUG
rnacentral:rRNA from 1 species